rnacentral:rRNA from 1 species
AGGACGAACGCUGGCGGCGUGCUUAACACAUGCAAGUCGAGGGCACUUAUGCAGCAAUGUGUGAGUGACCGGCGAACGGGUGCGUAACACGUGAGCGACCUUGCCUCGUGGUGGGGGAUAGCCGGCCCAACGGCCGGGUAAUACCGCAUAUGGUAGUUUCUUCGCAUGGGGAGACUAGCAAAGCCUUGCAGCAAUGCAAUGGCGCCACAGGGGGGGCUCGCGGCCUAUCAGCUAGUUGGGGGGGUAAUGGCCCACCAAGGCGACGACGGGUA